AGGAAAACGCAGGAAGGAAAAAGUCGCCCGUGUCAGGUGCUCGCUCAGAGAGUGAGCAACUCUGAAACUGUGUCAAAAGAAAGGUCUAGGACGAGACAAGAAGUAUAAGUAUCUUGGAAAGAUACCAAACAGAAGCUAA
rnacentral:lncRNA from 1 species